CCGCCCGUCACACCAUGGGAGUUGAUUGCACCAGAAGCAGGUAGCCUGACCGCAAGGAAGGGCGCCUACCACGGUGUGGCAAUGACUGGGGUG
rnacentral:rRNA from 1 species